rnacentral:tRNA from 1 species
AAAUCUUAGUAUAUAAACAUCUUAAAACUUGCAAUUUUAUAUUUUUAUUAAAAUAUAAGAUU